rnacentral:rRNA from 1 species
GACGAACGCUGGCGGCGUGCUUAACACAUGCAAGUCGAACGGUGAAGGGAUCAGCUUGCUGGUUCUGGAUGAGUGGCGAACGGGUGAGUAACACGUGAGUAACCUGCCCCCUUCUUCUGGAUAACCGCAUGAAGGUGUGGCUAAUACGGGAUAUUCUGCGCCUGCUGCAUGGUGGGUGUGGGAAAGAUAUUGUUUCGGUGGGGGAUGGGCUCGCGGCCUAUCAGCUUGUUGGUGGGGUGAUGGCCUACCAAGGCGGUGACGGGUAGCCGCCCUGAGAGGGUGGACGGUCACACUGGGACUGAGACACGGCCCAGACUCCUACGGGAGGCAGCAGUGGGGAAUAUUGCACAAUGGGCGCAAGCCUGAUGCAGCGACGCCGCGUGAGGGAUGGAGGCCUUCGGGUUGUGAACCUCUUUCGCCAGUGAAGCAGGCCUGUCCCUUGUGGGUGGGUUGACGGUAGCUGGAUAAGAAGCGCCGGCUAACUACGUG